AUGGUGAGUGGGGGCAUCAGCCGCCAAGGACACGCUGCUGCAGCCCCGAGGGGGGUGAGGGAGACAGCACCUGGGGUGCAGGGCGGGCAGCUGCUGCAUCACCGGCUCUAUCCCAAGCCCAAGGAUGACGUCCCAGAGAUGCAGGAGAGCUUUGUCCAGAGAAGGUGCCAGCCUUCAGGGACCCUGCUGGACAGGUCUCCACCCUCUGCCCUUCAAGGGGCCCUACGGGCCUCCGGGUGCUCUGGUCGGGGCCUGGUGCCUGGACCAGGUCCCCCUGUGGAAAUUGGCCCCCUCCCUGAGCCAUCCGGGGCCCACAGCCCCCUUUCCACCUGGGACCGAGCAUCCUCCAGAGGGCCAGACCUCCUGCAGGGACACCAUGCCCAGCCCCAGGACCCUCCCCCUCAACUCUCCAGCAAGGCUGCCCCUGCACACCCCCAGCAGUCCAUACUGCCCCCAGGCCCCAGCCUUCAUGUGCUGGCCUUGAGGAGCAGCCCAGCUGGGGACCCCCGGCUGCAGGACAGUGACCUGGGAGUGAGUACAAGAAGAGCCCCCACCCUUUCUUCACAAGGCUUUCGUGGGCGCGGAGGCGGCGAUGCCCAGUACCCUCUCCCUUUCCCAGGCAACGGGACUCCGAGUUUGCUGACUGGGACCACCAAGCCCACGCAUGCAUCAAGAGAACCCGACAGGGAGCCGGACGGGCCACACCGGCCACAGGCACCAAAUGGAGGCCCGGGCACUUCAGCCUCCACACAGAGCCCAUCCGUCUUCCCCUUGACCCCCUGCUGCAAAAACAUUUCCUCCAAUGCCACCUCCGUGACGCUGGGCUGCCUGGCCACGGGUUACUUCCCAGAGCCGGUGACGGUAACGUGGGACGCAGGCUCCCUCAAUGGGACAACUAUGACCUUACCAGCCAUCACCCUCACGCCCUCUGGUCACUAUGCCACCAUCAGCUUGCUGACCUCCUCGGGUGCGUGGGCCAAGGAGAUGUUCACCUGCCGUGUGGCACACACUCCAUCGUCCACAGACUGGGUCGACAACAAAACCUUCAGCGUCUGCUCCAGGGACUUCACCCGGCCCACUGUGAAGAUCUUACAGUCGUCCUGUGACGGCGGCGGGUACUUCCCCCUGACCAUCCAGCUCCUGUGCCUCGUCUCUGGGUACACCCCAGGGACUAUGAACAUCACCUGGCUGGAGGACGGGCAGGUCAUGGACGUGGACUCGUCCACCACCUCUACCACGCAGGAGGGUGAGCUGGCCUCCACACAAAGCGAGCUCACCCUCGCCCAGAAGCGCUGGCUGUCGGACCGCACCUACACCUGCCAGGUCACCUAUCAAGGUGACACCUUUGAGGACAGCACCAAGAAGUGUGCAGAUUCCAACCCGAGAGGGGUGAGCGCCUACCUAAGCCGGCCCAGCCCGUUCGACCUGUUCAUCCGCAAGUCGCCCACGAUCACCUGUCUGGUGGUGGACCUGGCACCCAGCAAGGGGACCGUGAACCUCACCUGGUCCCGGGCCAGUGGGAAGCCUGUGAUCCAUCCCACCCCAAAGCAGGAGAAGCAGCGCAAUGGCACGUUAACCGUCACGUCCACCCUGCCAGUGGGCACCCGAGACUGGAUCGAGGGGGAGACCUACCAGUGCAGGGUGACCCACCCCCACCUGCCCAGGGCCCUCGUGCGGUCCACGACCAAGACCAGCGGCCCGCGUGCUGCCCCGGAAGUCUAUGCGUUUGCGACGCCAGAGGAGCCCGGGAGCCGGGACAAGCGCACCCUCGCCUGCCUGAUCCAGAACUUCAUGCCUGAGGACAUCUCGGUGCAGUGGCUGCACAACGAGGUGCAGCUCCCGGACGCCCGGCACAGCAUGACGCAGCCCCGCAAGACCAAGGGCUCCGGCUUCUUCGUCUUCAGCCGCCUGGAGGUGACCAGGGCCGAAUGGGAGCAGAAAGAUGAGUUCAUCUGCCGUGCAGUCCAUGAGGCAGCGAGCCCCUCACAGACCGUCCAGCGAGCGGUGUCUGUAAAUCCCGGUAAAUGA